rnacentral:lncRNA from 1 species
GUAGACUGUAGUAGAGCAUAAAUAAAAAACACAGACAAUGGACAUACAAUUGAAUAAACUAUGAUGAAGACUAUGCAUUCCAAUAGUUGGUCUGAACCAUUCUCUUUUGCCAAUUUUCGCAUUAAAAGCCCUUAAUACAGUUACUACCUCCUAGAUAAAUCCUCUAAGCAGGUCUCUAGGAAAAAAUAGAAAUCUUCUUUUUUAAUUAACAAAUGCUAACUUGAACCAUUUUUCUUCUAAUACUAAAACUGUUAGCCUAGCGCUAAUCACCCUGAAGUCCCUUAUUGCAGGUAAUAUAUUUUUCUGAACAGCUGCCCCCUUGUCUGGUUAUCACAUUGACUGUAGAAAAAUGUUAUAUUUUCCAUUUCUAAAGAUCCUUUCUCCACCCAUUGUAUUUUCUGUAAAGCUAAUGUACUCAAGUUAAAUCUUUUAUCUUUUCUUACUAAGGUAAGAACUGCUCCUAGUCUAUAUAGUGUGCGUACAUUCCAAGUACCAAAAUAUAAGGCCGAGUUCCGUUUUUCUAGUCUAAAAUCCAUUACUCUACAAAUCGGAGACAAUUCAUUCAGUUCUUGAACAUAGAUUCUUUUACAAGAUCUGGUUGUUAGUCUGGAGGACCAGAUCACAGUGACCAUUUCAGGUCAGAGUGAUGAUAUUGCAAUGCACCUUAAAGUGCAUUGGACAAUGGGGACGCCACUUUCCCAGCACCACCAUAUUAUAUAUGAUGUUUUUAAUAUUUUAAUUAAUAAUUUAACAAAAUUAGUUUUGUAUAAUUAUACAAAUAUUUGUUUACAGGUGUAAAUAAACCAAAAUGUCCAUAUUCUAAUCACAAAAAUUAUAUUUCAGAAACUCCAAAACCAGUUACAAUUGGAGAGGUCACUAUUUUUAAUUUUGGACAAGUGAGUUUAGCAUGCAAUACAAAUGAAUUCAAUAUGUUUAAGCUAAUAUUAGUUGUUAAUUUAAUGUUUUUUUAAUCUCAUUUUUGUACUAUGUCUUUCAAGAAGGAUUUUUGUGUAUCAUUCAGAUUAAAUUUGAGUAUUUUUUAAAGUUAUAUGCUUAAGAGGAUGUAUACUCACAUCAGUCAUAUACCCACUGUAUCAGUCCAACUACCAAGUAACAUGCCAAAAUAAUGCUUACGCAGAAUUUGUAAAAGUACAUAUUAUGAAAUUUUUAGAGAAUAGUAUUUUGGAGAAAAUAUUAUACGGUUUUUUUAUUAUUCAAAAUUUACAGCUUGGUAUAAAAGAUAUAAAAAUUAUUAUUUUUUAAUUUUUUAAAUAACUGUAACUUUUUGAACAAACUAAUUCAAAAAAAUGAAUUCCCUUAAUCCCCUCCAAAAUAUUGUUCUCUAUAAAUUUCAUAAUAGAUACUUUUACUCCCAAAAUCAAAAUUAAGAUAGUUUUACUUAUUCUGGUUCAGCAUUAUUUUUGUUUGUUACCCAGUAGUUGGACUGAGACAAUAAAUGCAGGUUUAACGUCCUCUUAAAUUUGGAUUAAGUAUCUUAGAUAAAUGGCUUGUGCAUCAAUAUUAAAAUAAUAAACUGUUAUAUUAAUUUGAAUUAAUUUUUCUUAUUUUUGGUCUGCAUUAAAAUGGAUAUUAUUAAUGGUAAGAAUUGUAUAUACAUUAUAAGCUUAACAUUACAAUAUAUUAGCGGACAGUUUUUAGUUAUCCCAACUUAUUAUUAUAUAAAAUAUUUUGGUUUUUUAUUUUGACUAACUGAUUGUGUGACC